GAUGAAGAACGCAGCGAAAUGCGAUAAGUAAUGUGAAUUGCAGAAUUCAGUGAAUCAUCGAAUCUUUGAACGCACAUUGCGCCCCCUGGUAUUCCGGGGGGCAUGCCUGUUCGAGCGUCAUUUCACCACUCAAGCCUCGCUUGGUAUUGGGCAACGCGGUCCGCCGCGUGCCUCAAAUCGACCGGCUGGGUCUUCUGUCCCCUAAGCGUUGUGGAAACUAUUCGCUAAAGGGUGUUCGGGAGGCUACGCCGUAAAACAACCCCAUUUCUAAGGUUGACCUCGGAUCAGGUAGGGAUACCCGCUGAACUUAAGCAUAUCAAUAAAGGA
rnacentral:misc_RNA from 1 species